rnacentral:ncRNA from 21 species
UGCCGGGCUGAUAGCUCCCAAUACAAGACCCUUCGGGGGAAUAAGAGCAGCGCACCGUGUGGCGUAGUUGAGGCCCGGCAUUUCCUCA